rnacentral:rRNA from 1 species
GUCUGUGGCCAUACCACCCUGAAUGCACGAUCUCAUCUGAUCGCAGAAGCAAAGCAGGGUCAGGCCUGGUUAGUACUAGGAUAGGAGAAAGGGAGAGAAGAUAAUAGGGAACUUCAACU